UGGGGAAUAUUGCACAAUGGGCGCAAGCCUGAUGCAGCCAUGCCGCGUGUGUGAAGAAGGCCUUCGGGUUGUAAAGCACUUUCAGCGAGGAGGAAGGGUUCAGUGUUAAUAGCACUGUUCAUUGACGUUACUCGCGGAAGAAGCACCGGCUAACUCCGUGCCAGCAGCCGCGGUAAUACGGAGGGUGCAAGCGUUAAUCGGAAUUACUGGGCGUAAAGCGCACGCAGGCGGUUUGUUAAGUCAGAUGUGAAUCCCCGCGCUUAAC
rnacentral:rRNA from 1 species